CCUACGGGUGGCAGCAGUGGGGAAUAUUGCACAAUGGGGGGAACCCUGAUGCAGCAACGCCGCGUGGGUGAAGAAGUACUCCGGUAUGUAAAGCCCUGUCAGCAGGGAAGAAACUGACGGUACCUGACCCAGAAGCCCCGGCUAACUACGUGCCAGCAGCCGCGGUACUACGUAGGGGGCAAGCGUUAUCCGGAUUUACUUGGUGUAAAGGGAGCCUAGACGGCAAGGCAAGUCUUGAGUGAAAGCCCGUGGGCCAACCCCGGGACUGCUUUGGAAACCGUGUUGCUGGAGUGCAGGAGGGGUAAGCGGAAUGCGUAGUGUAGCGGUGAAAUGCGUAGAUAUUAGGAGGAACACCGGUGGCGAAGGCGGCUUACUGGACUGUAACUGACGUGGAGGCUCGAAGGCGUGGGGAGCAAACAGGAUUAGAUACCCCUGUAGUC
rnacentral:rRNA from 1 species